rnacentral:lncRNA from 1 species
ACAGCAAAGAAUUUACAGACUCAUAUUGACUCCGUAAACCAAAUAGGUAACUCCACAUCCAUGUGAACGGCGACUGUUUCCUAGCACUGCGUGCUAAGCUAUCCGCCCGUAGGUUCUCCGUGCGUGGUACAUGAAUGAUGUCUGAGUUGAGAAAACUACUUUUUAAAAGCUUAAUGUCUUCCAGAUAACUUCCAAAUGCUGGCCAAUCGUCUGGUUCCGAAACCAUCUUCACCAAUUGAGAAUAAUCCAUUGCAAACGUCACCUGAACUUGUCUUAAAU